rnacentral:rRNA from 1 species
GUGGAUUAGAUACCCUGGUAGUCCACGCCCUAAACGAUGUCGACUAGUUGUUGGUGGGGUUAAACCCAUUAGUAACGUAGCUAACGCGUGAAGUCGACCGCCUGGGGAGUACGGCCGCAAGGUUAAAACUCAAAGGAAUUGACGGGGACCCGCACAAGCGGUGGAUGAUGUGGAUUAAUUCGAUGCAACGCGAAAAACCUUACCUACCCUUGACAUGCCAGGAACUUUCCAGAGAUGGAUUGGUGCCCGAAAGGGAGCCUGGACACAGGUGCUGCACGGUUGUCGCCAACU